AUGCCCCCGUGUGCCGCCCACACGCACCGCACCCGUCUCGGUGUGGUCAUUCUCUGCCAUGGCGUUUCCUCCAUCUCCUCUCUAAACCGGGGCACCGCCUCUUCCAGCAUGGCGAUGAAUACCUUGAGCCCACGCCGGCCCCGCUGCUCUCCUCCUCCUCCUGCAGCCUCUUCCUCUGCAGCAGCAAAGAGGGAGAUUCCUCCUCUGUCCAGACUGUCCACACUCUCCGGAGGCCCCCCCAGAAAAAUCUAUCUGAAAGAGACUCUUGAGUGUCACCUAACUAAACAGCUCCUUAAACGACGCCGCCUUCACAUGUCACAACACCCCCGCAUAAAUCCUUGA
rnacentral:rRNA from 1 species